rnacentral:lncRNA from 1 species
UUUUCAUGCUUUUGGUGCACCCUUCCAUAAACCCUUGUGCUAUUUCAUCCUCUCACUUUAAAACCCUUGAUAAAUCUCAAUUCUACACUUUCUCUCACUAAUUGGACAUUUUAGAGAGAGAAAGAGAGAAUUACCCCAUUGAUUUGGAAGUAAUUGGAAGAGAAUUUGACUACAAAGGAGCCCUAGGGUAAGUGAUUAACUAAGCUCGAUUUGUAGCUGUAGAAAAUGGCUAGUAAUUGGGAUUUAUGAGCUGUUUAUUGUUGAGCAUGUUCAUUACUUUUAGUGAUUAAGAUAGUGAACAUAGAUGGCCAUUUAAUGUGGCAAUUGAAAGCUAGUUUAGAGAUAGCUUUUAGGGUUCAUAGUGUGUAAAUUGACCUAUUGCUUAUGCUAAUGUGAUCCUAGGUUCUAAGGAAGCCCCAUCAUCUCAUUUGAACAAUUAGGGGAAUUGGAGUCAUCUAAAGGCUCUACAAUCAAUUGGUGAGUAGACUGCCUUCAAAACUUGUUUUGGGAAAUAUAAUGUAUUUGCCACCCAUUUGAAUGAAUUAUCAAGUUUUUCAUAAAGACAAGUGCCUUGGGAACAAGCUUUUGCAAAAUGGUUUUAUAUUGUGAUAUGUGAUUGCUAUGGAUUCAUGCACUAUUGUAGUAUGAUGAUAUAUAAAUGUGUGUGUUGUGCAUGAUGAAUGAUAUUGUGUAUAAUGACUGUAACCGUGUGUGUGCACGAUGUGGGGGGAUGCACAUGCCGGUGAUAAUGGUGGCGUGAGAAAUGGAUGAUGAUAGUGCCCGUGUGCACGAUGUGGGGGGAUGUACACGAUGGCACUGAUUGUGCACGAUGUGGGGGGAUGCACAUGAUGGUGCCACCUAUAUGCACGAUGUGGGGGGAUGUACAUGAGCCAGGUGUGAUUAUGAUGAUGUUGAUGUUUAGCUAUGUAAUUAUGCACAUCUAGACUUAUGAAAUGAAAAUUAUGCGUGUGAUAUAUGAUUGACAUAUAUGAGAAAUUUGAUACAUUGCAUUUUAAGAAUUUUCAUGUGCUGUAUGUUUAUUUUAUUGGUUUAGCAGGAUGGCCUUUUUGUUGAGUGAGGGGAAACUUUUCUCUUGUUGCUCUGUUUUCGCUGUAGCAAAAUUCAUUCUCGCUGUAGCAAGAAACUCUCGGGUUUGAGAACCUUCACCAGAACUGGUUCUCGCUGCAGCGAGAUAGUCACUGUAGCUUCUUGCUGCAGCGAAAAGGAAUCUUGCUGCAGCAAAAAACUCUCUGUUUCAUUAGCGAAAUUUCGUUGCAGCGAGAAACCUUCUGUUUCUGGGUUACAAUUUCGUUGCAGCGAGAAAGAAUCUCGCUGCAGCGAAAAACCUUAUGUUUUGGUCUCCUAUCUUGUCAAAUUGCUACCCUAUCUUUCACUUCUUUACUACCAUAUCGGAGCACGGACUUCCAACAUUAAGGAUUAAAUGAGUUAAGUUCAAAAUGGGAAGGUUUAGGGAGAAACCCUUGGCCAGUUGAGAAACCCUCGUUCGGCUAAUAACUAAAUCCUAAUGUCGUUGCAACGAAAAUUCAUUCUCGCUGCAGCGUCGCUGCAGUGAGAAUGCCUUUCCGCUGCAGCGAAGAUUCAUUAUCGUAUUUGACUUGCUUGUGUAAUAUUAAAGUUUUCAUUCUUCAAAUGGUUCGUUAUGUAUGGUUCAUGAUUUUCAAAUGAUUAAUUAUUUAAGGGCUUGAUGAGGGGUUUUUAAUAAGAAUAGAAACAAAUUGCAUUGUUUUGAAAAAGAAUGCAUCAUGAUUUCAUUUAAGAUUCCUUAUGGUAUGCUUGUUCCCUUCCUUGUUCACUCACUGGGUUUAUACUCAUCAUUUUCAACUUCAUGUUUUUAGAUCACGAGGCAGCCGGUAACUAGGACGAGGUGUCCU